GUCAGUUUGUGUAUUCGCUCUGAGUUCGUCUACCCUGUAGAUCGAGCUGUGUGUUCUGAAGUAUCAUACACGAGCUAGACUACUAGGUGAACGAUGGAAUGGAGCAAUUUCUAGUUUGAAA
rnacentral:pre_miRNA from 14 species